rnacentral:rRNA from 1 species
ACCCGCUGAACUUAAGCAUAUCGCUAAGCGGAGGAAAAGAAACCAACCGGGAUUCCCUUAGUAACGGCGAGUGAACCGGGAGGAGCCCAACGCUGAAUCUCGUCGUCGGUGUUACAUGUCGUCGAGAGCUGUGGCGCAAGGGUCGUACACGGUCGUUCGUUUCGCCCGGCUAGGUUCGGAGUCCCCUCGAUCGGGGCUGCCCAAAGCGGGUGCCAGGCCCAUUCGGAGCCGGCGGCGUUCGACGGUGUUCUUUUCGGCCCGAGAGUCGGGUUGCUUGGGAACGCAGCCCAAAGCGGGUGGUAAGCUCCAUCCAAGGCUAAAUACGGGGACGAGUCCGAUAGCCGACAAGUACCGCGAGGGAAAGUUGAAAAGAACUUUGGAGAGAGAGUUCAAGAGACCGUGAAACCGCCCAGGGGUAAACGGGUAGGACCGUUCACCGCGAUCGCGAGGGGACUCAGUCCGCUGCUGCUUCGAUUUAAGGCGCCGUCGUCGCUACCGAUUGCGCCGGCGGUUUCGCUGUACGUGUAGGCGUGCGGUGACCGACGGCCACGGUGGCGUUGGAUUCGCGGGGUGCCGGCAUCGGACGCACUUCCCCUUCGAUCCGUCGUCGCGACCCGUUCUCGCCAGGCUGGUCGGCGCGCGGUGUCCGCAGGUCGCAGAGGAGCGCCCCGCUUUUAGCCGGGCGCGUUCGCCUUCGGGUGGGCGCGUUCGUGCUGCCGUUGCGGGAAUCCAGCACUGCUCUCGUCCGGGCCCGUCGCUCCAUCGUCAAUUCGUUGUUAGGCACGGCUAACAGGCGGGGACGGGACAACGCAUCUCGUCAUUUUGCAAAGUACGCAGCGAGUCGCGGCGUCAAACCCGCGACGCGGCCGCCUUUUCUCGCUACGUCUCCCGGCGGCGCUGCUGCUCGUCGCUUUCGGGCGCGGUGGCUCGCGUCGGGGGUUGCGUGGCGGGUUUGGGAUCGAACGAAAAGCCGUCCGCUGCUGCAGGUCUGCGACGAGCAUCGGCAACCUACCCGACCCGUCUUGAAACACGGACCGUGGAGUCCCAGUCGGCUGCGAGUCGUUGGAGCGAAUCGAGCUACUAACUCCGACGGCACAGUGAAAGCGAGAACGUGACACGUCGUUUUGCCAGAGGUUCGCACCAUCGUCGGCUCGUCUGGCAGUGGUUGCGGCGCCGCUGGCGGCGUCUCGAAGCAUCGUUCCCGGGUCGGGCCAGCGCGCGCGAUAGUGGCGCCUCACAAGGGCGUCGCUGCUGCGUGUGCUCCGACUCAGGUGUAGCAGGUGGCCGGGGACCCGAAAGAUGGCGAUCCACGCCCGGUCGGGACGAAGCCAGAGGAAACUCUGGUGGAAGUCCGAAGCGCCUCUGACGUGCAAAUCGAUCGUCGGAACCGGGUGUAGGGGCGAAAGACCAAUCGAGCCGUCUAGUAGCUGGUUCCCUCCGAAGUUUCCCUCAGGAUAGCUGGCGCUAGCAGGCGAACGAAACGCAAUUCCGUCCGGUAAAGCGAACGACUGGAGGCCCCGGGGACGUUGACGGCCUCGAUCUACUCUCGAACUCGGAACGGGCGAAACGGGCCGCUUUCUCUCCCGAUCGGAGGCGGCCGUCUCGGUUUAGCAGCGACGAAUGCACGGUGCCAAGUGGGCCACUUUUGGUAAGCAGAACUGGUGGUGUGGGAUGAACCGAACGUCCGGCUAAGGUGCCCUACGCUUUCGCCCACUAGAUCCCCGAAAGGGUGUCGGUCGAUAUAGACAGCAGGACGGUGGCCACGGAAGUCGGAACCCGCUCAGGAGUGUGUAACAACUUACCUGCCGAAUCGACCGGCCCCGAAAAUGGAUGGCGCUGGAGCGAGCGACCGAUGCCGGACCGGCCAGGCGGUAGGCGCGUCACGCCGGCGAGUAGGCGACUUUUCGAUGCCUGGUCGAGUAGGAGGGCGCCGCGGUGUGCAUGGAAGCCGCGGGCGCGAGCCCGGGUGAAGCCGACCGCGGGUGCAGAUCUCGGUUGUAGUAGCAAAUAUUCGAACGAGACCUUCGAAGACCGAAGUGGAGAAGGGUUCCGUGCCAACGGCGGUCGAGCACGGGUCAGUCGGUCCUAAGAAGCGGGCGAAAGCUUGUACGAAAGGCGCCGGAUCCGUCGUAUGUGUCUGAGAACUGUUUGGUGACGCAGUUACGCGCGCGGCCGGCCUUGCAUCGAAAGGGAAUCGGGUUAAUAUUCCCGAACCCGAACUCGGAGAGUGCCCGUCCGGCGGUGGGCCUGCGGCGUACGUGCGCGAACUCGUUUUGCGCUGCGUUUUCGUCGCCGAAGCCGGCGGUCGGGCGAAGCAGCGGCAACGCAAGCGAGCCCGGAGACGUUGCCGGGAGCCCCGGGAAGAGUUCUCUCUUCUUCGUAAAGGACCGCGUCCGUGGAAUCGGCUCGUCCGGAGAUACGGAUAUGGUACCUGUAGAGCGCCGCGUCUCGGGCGGCGUCCGGUGCGCUCUCGGCGGCCCUGGAAAAUCCGGGUCCGUAACGAUUCGCAGCUCUCGAGUCGGUCCGUACCCACCAUCCGCAGCAGGUCUCCAAGGUGUACAGCCUCUCGUCGAUAGCGCCAAUGUAGGUAAGGGAAGUCGGCAAAAUGGAUCCGUACCUUCGGAAGAAGGAUUGGCUCCGAGGACCGGGUCGGUCGGGCCGUGUGUGUCACCGCGCACUAACCGUUGCGUCGCUCGCGCGGCGCGGCGGGUGUAGGAACACGUCUGUUACGCGAAGCGGUGAACCGGUACGGGGCUGUAGCGUUGGCGUCGGACUCGACGUCCGGCCGUCUUGUCGUCGCCGUCGUCGCGUUGGCGGCGGGCGUUCGUGGCUNCCNCCGCUGUCGGUCGUUGGCUUUGGGUCGCGCGCUUUCCUCGCCUUUUCCUGCGCGCGGUCCUCUGUAUCGUCGGCGUUGUGUAUCGUUGCGGCUCGGUGCCGUCGUGGCGUGGAUGCGGUUGUUGUUUGCUUCUGCGGCGUUUCGGGGUGCGUGCGUCGCCUUCGCGGGAGUGCGCGUGUCCUGUCGUAGCGGGGACGACGACGGCGGUUUGCGCUGCGGUUGCGCUGCGCCAUCGUGUUGUGCGUGUCGGCGGUUGGGGAACGCCGCGCGCGGGGCUUUAAGGGCUAGGAAUUCGCGUGCGGCCCGGGUCCUUUUGUUGGCGGCGGUGGCCUGCUCGCCGUUUUGCGACGUGCGGUUUUAAUCGUUGGCGGUCGGUGCGUAGUGGGCGUGAACAACACGGCUCCACACCCGGGACACCGUGGAGCGACACGGCUUCGGGCUUAUCGUGAGUCGGUUUUCUUUUCGGCGUUGGACGGCGCUCCUCCGCGGGGCUGUCGCUCCUCCUUGCCGAAAACGAAAAAACUUAUGACGCGCGGCAGGCGUUCGGCCGACGGCGAACGGUCGACUCGGAACUGGUACGGACCGGGGGAAUCCGACUGUCUAAUUAAAACAGAGCAUCGCGUAGCCGGUCGAGCCGCAUAGACGCGAUGUGAUUUCUGCCCAGUGCUCUGAAUGUCAAAGUGAAGAAAUUCAACCAAGCGCGGGUAAACGGCGGGAGUAACUAU